GUCUUCCCUGCUUUUGCCUCUGCACUGGCCUUUACCUGAGUAAAAAUGAAAUCAUAGCAACAUCAAAAUAAUACAAGUCGUGUUUACGUGCAGGGAUAGUUUUGUGAGAAGAAAGUCAACGUGUAAAUACAUUUCUUUUUUUUCUACUUACGUGAU